GCGUUAAAAUGCUUUUCUUGCCAGGGCCCCGGAUGUGAUACAGACAUCGAAACCUGGUCUACAGAGACAUGCCCAGCUUUCCAUCUAGUGCCAGAGUACCAAUUUGCUUGCAUAAAAUGGAGUUAUACAGACGAAACAACACAGACGAAGGUGGUGGAAAGGAUGUGCCUUGCUGUCGAGUUAAAAGACGGAAAACCAAACUACAACUGUGAAAAGAUCUUCGGUUAUCAAACUGAAUGUUCAGGGUGUCAAACUGACUUUUGUAAUUCUGCGAAAAGCAUCAGUUUCAGCUUUGUGGCACUUUGCGGGUUGUUUUGGCGAUUGCGGCGCCCAAGCUUUUGUAAAAUCGCCCCACCCCUUCUCUAGCAUGAUUCGUGGGAAAUAGAAUGAGUCCUGCAAGUCGUGUAUAUGUAGUGAUAACUAUAAAAUGAUUUUGUUAACUGUUUACUUUUAUUGUGUAAAUGUACCUAGUACGACGUUUUUUAUUGUAAUGCAACUUAAGGUAUAACCGUUUAUAAUUAAUAUUAAAUGUCAAAUUUCUUUGAUAA